GCCCUGGUUGAUUAAUGGUAAAUCACCCAUACCCCUUGAGCAUAGGCAGGAUGGAUUGAUGCGGGAGACGGAGGUUCGAAUCCUCCCCAGGGCA